CGCAUCUACUGCAUUACUGCGAACUGCCAAAACCUACAGAUGGCUGCAAACCAGAGAGAAUCUUCCCCAAGUAACGAACGAAAGCGAAGUUACCAACAACGAAAUAUCAUCUUUCAUUAAGACCCUCGCCAAAAGCGGCCCUUUUGAUCUUCAACUUCUCUACGAUUCAGAACACGGAGGAUCUGCGACUGAAGUGGCAAGUCAGUUGUCAUACGACGUAGAAGGGCUGACGGGGUUUGAAUACAACCAGGCAUCGUCGAUGACGCUCAAGUUGCUGUUGCACUCUGCCAGACGUACGACUCUCGUCUUGACCUUCUGUCAACCUGCCGUUAUCCUAGAGAGCUUC